CUGAAAAGUAGAGGUGCAUUAAAGAUCAGUAGUGAUAGUCAGGGUGAUACCGCUUAUCUAUCAUGAAAGGCUUUGAUGCCGAAGUAGUAAUACAUAUCACGGUUUACUGCUGGGGCUGUAUCUAAUAGAUAUGGCACUGCCAUAGUAUUUCUUAUCCGGAUGAUAAGAAAAUUUAUACCUUUUAAUUAACGGUAUUACUAUGGAGCGCUACUGAUAGG
rnacentral:ncRNA from 2 species